rnacentral:rRNA from 1 species
GAUGAACGCUGGCGGCGUGCCUAAUACAUGCAAGUCGAGCGAACGGACGAGAAGCUUGCUUCUCUGAUGUUAGCGGCGGACGGGUGAGUAACACGUGGAUAACCUACCUAUAAGACUGGGAUAACUUCGGGAAACCGUAGCUAAUACCGGAUAAUAUUUUGAACCGCAUGGUUCAAAAGUGAAAGACGGUCUUGCUGUCACUUAUAGAUUGAUCCGCGCUGCAUUAGCUAGUUGGUAAGGUAACGGCUUACCAAGGCAACGAUGCAUAGCCGACCUGAGAGGGUGAUCGGCCACACGGGAACUGAGACACGGUCCAGACUCCUACGGGAGGCAGCAGUAGGGAAUCGUCCGCAAUGGGCGAAAGCCUGACGGAGCAACGCCGCGUGAGUGAUGAAGGUCUUCGGAUCGUAAAACUCUGUUAUUAGGGAAGAACAUAUGUGUAAGUAACUGUGCACAUCUUGACGGUACCUAAUCAGAAAGCCACGGCUAACUACGUG